AUGCCCAGUAACGGCGAGUGAAGCGGCAUCAGCUCAAAUUUGAAAUCUGGCGUCUUCGGCGUCCGAGUUGUAAUUUGUAGAGAGUGUCUCGGGUGGAGCACCGGUCCAAGUCCCUUGGAACAGGAUAUCAUAGAGGGUGAGAAUCCCGUAUCCGGCCGGCCCCCUCCCCCGCUGUGAGGCCUCUUCGACGAGUCGAGUUGUUUGGGAAUGCAGCUCUAAAUUGGAGGUAAAUUCCUUCUAAAGCUAAAUACUGGCCAGAGACCGAUAGCGCACAAGUAGAGUGAUCGAAAGAUGAAAAGCACUUUGAAAAGAGAGUCAAACAGUACGUGAAAUUGUUGAAAGGGAAGCGUAUGCGGCCAGACUUGUCCCCAGUUGCUCAGCCCGUCUUUUGGCGGGUGUACUCUUCUGGAGCCAGGCCAGCAUCGGUUUGGGCGGUCGGAUAAAGAUGUCAGGAAUGUGGCCCCCCUCGGGGGGUGUUAUAGCCUGGCGUGCAAUGCGAUCAGCCCGGACCGAGGCCCGCGUUCUGCUAGGAUGCUGGCGUAAUGGCCGUAUACGGCCCGUCUUGAAACACGGACCAAGGAGUGCAACAUCUAUGCGAGUGUUUGGGUGUCAAGCCCGGACGCGAAAUGAAAGUGAACGGAGGUGGGAGCUUCGGCGCACCAUCGACCGAUCCUGAUGUCUUCGGAAGGAUUUGAGUAAGAGCAUAGCUGAUGCGACCCGAAAGAUGGUGAACUAUGCGUGAAUAGGGUGAAGCCAGAGGGAAACUCUGGUGGGAGGCUCGCAGCGGUUUCUGACGUGCAAAUCGAUCGUCAAAUUUGCGUAUAGGGGCGAAAGACUAAAUCGAACCCAUUAGUAGCUGGGUUCCUGCGA
rnacentral:rRNA from 2 species